UACGGGGGGGGCAAGCGUUGUUCGGAAUUACUGGGCGUAAAGGGCUUGUAGGUGGCCAACUAAGUCAGACGUGAAAUCCCUCGGCUUAACCGGGGAACUGCGUCUGAUACUGGAUGGCUGGAGUGUGGGAGAGGGAUGCGGAAUUCCAGGUGUAGCGGUGAAAUGCGUAGAUAUCUGGAGGAACACCGGUGGCGAAGGCGGCAUCCUGGAGCAUUACUGACACUGAAAAGCGAAAGCCAGGGGAGCAAACGGG
rnacentral:rRNA from 1 species